rnacentral:rRNA from 1 species
CAGCAGCCGCGGUAACACGUAGGGGGCAAGCGUUGUCCGGAAUCAUUGGGCGUAAAGAGCGUGUAGGCGGCUCGGUAAGUCCGCUGUGAAAGUCCAGGGCUCAACCCUGGAAUGCCGGUGGAAACUGUCGAGCUAGAGUCCGGAAGAGGCGAGUGGAAUUCCUGGUGUAGCGGUGAAAUGCGCAGAUAUCAGGAGGAACACCAAUGGCGAAGGCAGCUCGCUGGGACGGUACUGACGCUGAGACGCGAAAGCGUGGGGAGCAAACAGGAUUAGAUACCCGUGUAGUCCCUGUCUCUUAUAA